GUCAGUCUAUCAGUCAGUGUGUCAGUCAGUCAGUCUAUCAGUCAGUCAGUCAGUCAGUGUGUCAGUCAGUCUAGUCAGUCUAUCAGUCAGUCAGUCAGUCAGUAUAUCAGUCAGUCUAUCAGUCAGUCAGUCUAUCAGUCAGUCAGUCAGUAUAUCAGUCAGUGUGUCAGUCAGUCAGUCAGUCUAUCAGUCAGUGUGUCAGUCUAUCAGUCAGUCAGUGUGUAAGUCAGUCAGUGUGUCAGUCAGUCAGUAUAUCAGUCAGUCAGUAUAUCAGUCAGUCAGUGUGUCAGUCAGUCAGUAUAUCAGUCAGUCUAUCAGUCAGUCAGUGUGUCAGUCAGUCAGUGUGUCAGUCAGUCUAUCAGUCAGUCAGUGUGUCAAUCAGUCAGUAUAUCAGUCAGUGUGUCAGUCAGUGUGUCAGUCAGUCAGUAUAUCAGUCAGUCAGUGUGUCAGUCAGUCAGUGUGUCAGUCAGUCAGUCAGUGUGUCAGUCAGUCAGUCAGUCUAUCAGUCAGUGUGUCAGUCAGUCAGUCAGUCAGUCUAUCAGUCAGUGUGUCAGUCAGUCU
rnacentral:lncRNA from 1 species